GGCGCUGUUGCUCAGCUGGUUAGAGCGCCUGUCUAGUAAACAGGAGGUCAUGGGUUCAACUCCCAUAAGUCAGUGCCU
rnacentral:tRNA from 1 species